rnacentral:rRNA from 1 species
AUACGGGGGGGGCUAGCGUUGUUCGGAUUUAUUGGGCGUAAAGGGCGCGUAGGCGGUUCGGUAAGUCAACCGUGAAAUCCCUCGGCUCAACCGAGGAACUGCGAUUGAUACUGCCGAGCUUGAGUCCCGGAGAGGAUGGCGGAAUUCCCAGUGUAGCGGUGAAAUGCGUAGAUACUGGGAGGAACACCGGUGGCGAAGGCGGCCAUCUGGACGGGUACUGACGCUGAGGCGCGAAAGCUAGGGGAGCAAACGGGAUUAGAAACCCCGGUAGUCC